GUUUCUAUAGUUGAAUAACAACGAUGAUUUUUCAUGUCAUUGGUCAUAGUGAAAR
rnacentral:tRNA from 1 species